rnacentral:rRNA from 1 species
UAGGGAAUUUUGCGCAAUGGGCGAAAGCCUGACGCAGCAACGCCGCGUGAUUGAUGACGCUCUUCGGAGUGUAAAGAUCUGUCAGUGGGGACGAACAAUGACGGUACCCACAGAGGAAGCACCGGCUAACUCCGUGCCAGCAGCCGCGGUAAUACGGAGGGUGCAAGCGUUGUCCGGAAUCAUUGGGCGUAAAGAGUUCGUAGGUGGCAUGUAAAGUCUGGUGUUAAAUACUGGGGCUCAACUUCAGUUCGGCACUGGAUACUUGCAAGCUAGAAUGCGGUAGAGGUAAAGGGAAUUCCUGGUGUAGCGGUGAAAUGCGUAGAUAUCAGGAGGAACAUCGGUGGCGUAAGCGCUUUACUGGGCCGUAAUUGACACUGAGGAACGAAAGCCAGGGUAGCAAAUGGG